CAAGAAAUAGUUUAUUUAAAAUAUUAAUUUUGGGAAUUAAUGAAAAAGAAGUUUCUUUUUUCUUGA
rnacentral:tRNA from 1 species